rnacentral:rRNA from 1 species
UUUGGUGGCGAUAGCGAAGAGGUCACACCCGUUCCCAUACCGAACACGGAAGUUAAGCUCUUCAGCGCCGAUGGUAGUUGGG